CAAUCAAUCGAACAUUAUUGUCACGAUUAAUUUCUGUCUAGCAGACAUAUUAUUAUUCGUUCAAUAAUAUUGUCAAAUUAGUAAAUUGAACCUCAACUGUUACUAAUUAAAUAUCUCUUUAUAAAAUGUUAAGCAAACUUGCAACUUGCAAGCAAACACCCCCAAAUAUUGUAAAAAUUGCAGAAAGUUACUAUGAAGUACUUGUUACUAACAAAACAUCGUCAAAAAUGGGAAGUUGCUCAUUUGACGUUUUUUUGGAGAAUGUAUUGCUUCCUAAAAUUAUCAGUAAGAUGAAAGACCUUCUUACAACUACAACUUAAACUAAAUUACUAGAACCCUACUGAAAAGAAAGUCUGAUGGUAUUAAAAGCAAGAAGUCCAUGAUUUAGUCUGUAAACAACAUUACUAUUAACUAAAUAACUAAAUAAAAUAGGACGUAGUAUCAUUUCUGCUAAGAUCAUCAUAACUUAAAUAUAAAUACACAGAAAAGAAUGGUUCAGUCCAUAAGAUGAACAUGUUAUUAGUGAUAACCAACAACCUUGGCGCAGUCAGUAGCAUGUCCUUUGGAGUGUAGUUUUGGUGUCUCGAAAUCCAAAAAAUUCUGGGUGUAGCGAACAAUUGCCAAUUCAACAGCCAGAGAAGUAUUCAGGAACCUCGACCAAAGAGCAAAACUGUCAAAAACUAUCCCUAACAAUUGCUUCAAAGAACUGAUCAAAAUAUGCUUUUAUGCAACGAAUCGGACAUCAAGACUCACUCAACAGAACUACGUAAACAACUGCAGCAAACUUCAGCAUUUUAAUCAACGAAUUAUACUCAGUUCACUAGAGGAAUGUUCCAUAAAAUAAAUUGAAUGAAAAGCAUUAAAUAAUUCUCAAUAAAUCACUAUGUCCUUGAUUUAAUACAAAAAUAAAUAAUUAAACAAG